ACGGGAAUGAUCGGAGAAAUGGAUAAUUUCUUUUUAACGCGUACGUAAAAACGUUCCACGCAUAUUAUCGGUAUGUAUCAUUUUCGUUGAUGAUGAAAGAAAGAUAAUAUUGAAACUUUAAAUUUUAUUUAAUAGCAAGGAACAAAUUAUUCUUCCCUUUCACCAUAUAAUUGAUUCACGUUUAUAUCCCUAUCCGAACGAUAGAACGAUUAUUUCAUUGUAUCGGGAAGGAGAAGCGAAGAGAUGAACGCGUUGGCUUAAUUAUCGCAUGCCAGCAGAUCACAGUGUCAUUAAGGCGAAUCUGUUCGCGGAAUGGCGACGAUUAUUGCGGCUCGCUUACGAUCCAUGAACGGCUAUGGAUCGUGCCGAACAUUAAACGUAGAAUGUCCUCAGGGGAAAACGAUCAUUGUCCUGGACGUUAUGCGUUGGGGAGAACGCUCUGUGCGCUCGUUUAUGCGUCCAAUUAAACGUUCCCGCGCGAUGACCGACUACGCAUGCGCAAUUAUCGUGUCCCGCGCUUGCGCGUGCACCAUUUUACUUCACCUCGGGGAUCCAACGUUGAACGGUUAUUAAGAGAGGAUAAUUGUUUUGUUUUUGUGAGAAUUAUUGGACAGAAGAUUAGAAAUGUGUGUCUUCGGCCCAUUCAGAAACCGUUUUGCACCUGUAGGUUAAGUUGUUCUACCUUCUUUCUUUCUACAUUUUUUACGAUUCCAAGACGAAAAGAAGAGUCGACGGAGGAAUUUUGUUAAGCAACGAAAGGUUCCAAUAACAUUUGGCGCUACGAUUCAACGAUUGAUCAUACAAAAAAGAGAAAAAAAGAAAUGGAAAGGUUACUCGAAAACAUCUCUCGCGGUAUGUUAUCUAUUUUCUUUGUACGAUUUACCUGUCCCGGCCCAUUUUACACGCCUCUUCCUUCAUUCCAAGCACACCCUUCGCUAUUUGUUUCUUUAAUGGCCUUCUCCUCGCUACCAACGUUCGCGUUAUCGCCGUAUCAAUCUAUAUGCGCGUAUAUACGUUCAAUACAAUCUGCUUACCAAUUGCAUUACAUCACGUGCAUUUUUUGUCCUCUCGUCAUCUGAUAACCGGUACGCUCGUCCUUAUCCAUUUGCGUUGGUAUCCUUUUAGCACGGUUCUCCAUUGCGAGAAAAAUAUAGUUUCA